rnacentral:sRNA from 1 species
AUUAAGUUCUUAGGUUUAAACUGUUAACUUACGGUGUAUAUAGGCAAUUUAAAUUGGGUUAUGUAUCUAGAUAUAGAAAAACUUACUGCAUUUUGCCCAGUAUCUAAUUUACACUAAUACAUUUAUGCUGAAACCUGUACCUUAAAACGUUUUUAAAUAGGUAUAUUGAGAUCUUCAGAAGUAGCAGGAGUGAAAUCAAAGGAUUUUAUGAUCCACCAAGAAGAUUGCUGGGACAGCGACCGGGACCAUAUGAUAGACCAAUAGGAGGAAGAGGGGGUUAUUAUGGAGCUGGGCGUGGAAGUAUGUAUGACAGAAUGCGACGAGGAGGUGAUGGAUAUGAUGGUGGUUAUGGAGGUUUUGAUGACUAUGGUGGCUAUAAUAAUUACGGCUAUGGGAAUGAUGGCUUUGAUGACAGAAUGAGAGAUGGAAGAGGUAUGGGAGGCCAUGGCUAUGGUGGAGCUGGUGAUGCAAGUUCAGGUUUUCAUGGUGGUCAUUUUGUACAUAUGAGAGGGUUGCCUUUUCGUGCGACUGAAAAUGACAUUGCUAAUUUCUUCUCACCACUAAAUCCAAUACGAGUUCAUAUUGAUAUUGGAGCUGAUGGCAGAGCCACAGGAGAAGCAGAUGUAGAGUUUGUGACACAUGAAGAUGCAGUAGCUGCCAUGUCUAAAGAUAAAAAUAACAUGCGUAAGUGAUGUCUUUGGCAUGCUAUCUUAUUUCCUGAACGUGAAUUUAUAAAAUAAGAGGCUCUAAGAUCUGUAGGCAAUGCUUGGCAGUUGUUGGGAUUUAAAACCAUUUGACCUCUAUAAUUGCUUUCUGUGGGCUUUAUAUAUCGCUGUACUAGUAAUAAGCAUACUUUGUUUAAUAUUACUUAAUUGAUCUUUUUUACAAAGCUUGUAUUGAUGAAUUUGAUCCAUCAUUCUUUUCUCCCCUGUUACUCUUUCUUUUUUUCUUAAAGAACAUCGAUAUAUUGAACUCUUCUUGAAUUCUACUCCUGGAGGCGGCUCUGGCAUGGGAGGUUCUGGAAUGGGAGGCUACGGAAGAGAUGGAAUGGGUAUGUAAAGUUUUUAAAAUAUGCAGGGUUAGCUGCUUAUCAAUGAGUCUCAAUUUUUUUUCUUUUUUUUUUUUUUUUUUAAAGAUAAUCAGGGAGGCUAUGGAUCAGUUGGAAGAAUGGGAAUGGGGAACAAUUACAGUGGAGGAUACGGUACUCCUGAUGGUUUGGGUGGUUAUGGUCGUGGUGGUGGAGGCAGUGGAGGUUACUACGGGCAAGGCGGCAUGAGUGGAGGUGGAUGGCGUGGGAUGUACUGAAAGCAAAAACACCAACAUACAAGUCUUGACAACAGCAUCUGGUCUACUAGACUUUCUUACAGAUUUCUUUUGUAUUUUAAGAACUUUAUAAUGACUGAAGGAAUGUGUUUUCAAAAUAUUAUUUGGUAAAGCAACAGAUUGUGAUGGGAAAAUCUGUUUUCUGUAGGUUUAUUUGUUGCAUACUUUGACUUAAAAAUAAAUUUUUAUAUUCA